UUUUAGGCCCUGAGAACACUGUCUGCAUUUCAUUUUCAGCAACUCAGAAGUCUAAGGUACAGAAGAAAUGACAGAGAAUGCUUCUUCUGUCUUUCCAUUUUUCUUCUAUACACCAAUGAAAAUAAGUCAGCAGAGAUACGAUUUCUAGUUCCUUCCUUAAUGGCGGCACAGUUAGAAGCAAGACUGCAUUUUUAAGGUUGUUGCAGUAACCCAGGUGAAAAAGAAUGAGGAGGCUGCACAACAAUAUGAAUGUACUUAAUGCCACUAAACCACUUAAAAUUGGUUAAAAUGGUAAAUUUUGUGUUACGUCUAUUUUACCUCAAUUAAAAAAAUAAUGAAGGCUGGACAGCAUCAGUAACAGUAGGAAUGGAAGAAGCUUUUGCAGGACUGAUCAAAUGAUUGGAUGCAGAUACGUUUUCACAUCGUUCUCAUAGGCAAAAUGUACACAUGAACAAAUACUAAACUGUUUAGAAUACUAAUGCCAAAAAACUUCUACAACCUCCACAUCGAAACAAACAGACCUGAACAUUAGGAAAUAAUCAGAUUUUACAAGGAAUGUGUUUUUUAUACACUUUGGACAUUUUCUUUCAUAAUAUGUAAAUAUCAAAACCUUCAAGCAAAUCAUACAGACAAGAAAAUAACAUGUGCUGCAUUAAAAACAUACAGACUUAGCAAAGAAAGGACAAAAACAAAAAACCUCCUAAGGCAGUUUUGACUCUCAGAAAUAUACGAGAGAGCUAAAAACACUGACAGAAUUCAGUUGCUUCUGUGAAGCAAGCGAAAAAGGGGAAAAUAAAUAACUUUUAGGAAGGCACUCCAGACCUGACCUGUACAAACAGCAAAUUCAAAGGUUUUGAAAAUGAUGAGUUUUUACUUUUUAGAGUUUGUAAUCAAUUGAAAUAGUGAUUCAUUGACAUUCUGGGGAGGCAUUAGAAAUGACCUAGAAUUUCUCUGGUAAAACAUAGCAUUUCAGUACGUUUAGAGGUACACGUAGCUGGUUUCUCCAGUACAGUUUUUAACAGGUGGCAUACUAAUAAUAAAUCUUGCUCUGUUUCUUAACACCACUUCCCCCAACUGCUAAUGAUGGGGUGAAAAAGUGAAAAAUACUGUCUAGACCAAUAUUAAUAAGGAGAAUGACGGCUACAAUUAGGAUUUCAUUUUAAUACAGCAGGAUUUUUAUACUGAAUUAAAUGUUCAUAUAUGUUUAUUUGAUAAUAACUCAUGAAUUUCAGUGGCAAAAAAAAGUUUCUUCUGGAGCUCACAAACAGGAUGAACAAUUAAAAAUAAAUAAAUAAGUCCCACCAUGCAGAAAAUUUACUUAGCUUGACACAUAUGAACUUGAGAGGAACGAGAGUUUUGGAAAGUGAGGCCAGCUUCUCUAGGACUUUGGCAAACUCAGUCAUCAUGCAGAGGAAAGAAGGAAGCAAGUGCCUGUUACCUUCAGUGCUCAAUACUAGAAUGAUAGCCAUCUAUGGCCAAAUUUGAAAUGGUGAUGCCUUGAGAAACUAAAUAAUAAGAACUGUCUUUUUUUUAGAUUUAAUGUAAUCUAGCUAAUGGCUUGUGUAUAAUUUUCCAGACAACUUAAUGGAUAUUUUUAUGAUUUAAAAUAAUUGUCUUCCAUGUCAGUCAAGACAUAAAGAAUACAAAUUUCCGCAUUGGAAGAAUGAAUAGCCUCAGGAAGAAGUUUAUAUCUGUUGGAGCAGUAAUUCCAGGCACUGGUCUACAGACCAGCACCAGUCUGUAAUAAGGUGCUCACAGUGAAAUAAGAAAAAUUAGGACAGUGCAGUAGCUUUGUUAUCCAUAAAAAGUUAAAUGUAUUUCAUGCACAAGACUAUCUUUAGUCUAAGAUUAGAUCCUUCCUACCCUAUGAUAGUUGUAGAUGGCCAUAGAUUUGGGGAGUAUUUGGUUUUUUGUUUCUUCCUUUUUAAAUGUAGAUUUCGUUUUUUGGGACAAAGAAAUAUUGGCACCCUGAUGUUGAUUCCUAAACUGUUUUUGAAUUUUUACUGACCUGUGAAAUCUAAAAUGUUGGAAACUGUUGCUCAAGAGAUCAGCAGUUCUCACCUUUGUUUUCCCUGCCUGCCCCAACAUACUGGAGAGAUAGGAUAUACCCCCAUCAGCUCGAGCCUCAGUAAGACUUGUUAUCAGCAGAAACUUAGGCUCUUGAAGAGGGAGGGUGCAUAUCAGAAUGGCUGGAAGUCAUAUAUGUACUAGACAAAGGCCCCAGGUGGUUCUAAGAGGGCCCAAACCCCAGCUAAACUGACAAUUCUCACUCAGUAAUACUGAUAUAUCCAGUGGGCCUAGAAAUGACCCAGAUACCUCAUUUAUUAAUUUAUCAUCUUGCCCUCUCUACAGGACUGUUAUCUUUACUUCCCAGAAAAAUGAGUAGGAUUUCUCCGGAAGGCAAGUCCCUCUGAAGUAUCCACCAACCAAUGCCAUACAGAUGAAGAAAUAGAUUUGGCUCUGAUAUGUUGGAUUUUCUCAAGCAAGUCCCAUAUCGAAAAUAAAAGCGUUUAAUUCUAAUCAGAGACAGCCGGGAAAAAAAGAAAAAAAAAAAAAACCUCCUGGCUUCCUGCCUCUUGAAAGCCUCUCCUUCAAAAUGUUUUGAGGACCUGCAAUGUGCCAGGAAUAUUACAGCAAAUGAGUCUUCUUUGGUGGUCCAGCCACACCAGCCCUUAUACUUCACAGCGUGAGUGAUAUAAACAUGAAGGCCAGGUGCGGCGGCUUACACCCGUAAUCCCAGCACUUUGGGAAGAGUGAAGUGGAGGAAGAGGUACAUUCAACUACAGAGGAGGAAACUGAGGCCCAGAGGGGAAAAGUGACUUGAUUGACAAAAAUUGGAUUCUGGUCUUUGUUCUGCCAAAGCCACUAAAUCUGUGUUGCUGAGUCUGCUGUUUGCAUGCAGGAAUGUGAAGGACUGCUCAAGUUGGAGAUACAAAUUGAAGCCAGCCCCAGUUCAAAACUGUUACAAAUGGAGUCUGUAGGCAUGAGGGGCUGACUAUAUAACUCAGAGUUCUCCAGUACUUUACUUUAAUAAAGAACACAAUCUUUAUUAAAGGAUAAGUAAUAAAAAUGUGUUGAUGUGCAACUUAUGGAUCUAUUAUUAAAACUCAACAGUCAUUGCAGCAAUGUUUAGAACUUAAGCAAACAAAAGUUUUGUGAGGGGGCAAUUUUAUCAAUGACAUUGUUUAGAAAUGUUGGUAGAUGGUGAUCAUAAAAAGCAGAUCAAUGUUUUAUUUCA
rnacentral:lncRNA from 1 species